AUACAUCAGGGUCUCCUGUGUCAAUCUCUAUCAGAUCCAUCAUGGGUGAAACCGAGCCCUGUGGAAGAGGGGCCAGAUGUUGCUAGGGAGGGACUGGGUGGCGCUAUAAUAGUGUCAGAUGAUACAAGCUCUGAAUUAUAUUAUGACGGUGUUGGAUGAUAUGACGGAGGAGCAAGGUUGCAUCGAAGUGGCGUUAGAUCCUCUCGUUGUAGGGGUGACUCAUAUUGUAGAAGUGGUAGAGAGACAGACAGUUCCAUCCUCUCUUCCCUGACCUACUGGGUAGAGAUGAGUCACUCUAAAAUCUUGAAGAGCCGGUAGACAUCCUCUCAAAGUGACCCGUCUCGGGCUGCCCUAUUCAGUAAGGACCCUUGUCUCUUAGUGUUCUUGUACUUAUUUU
rnacentral:lncRNA from 1 species